GAGCGAUUGCCGUGGGCAAGUUCUUGUUUUGCUUCUCUCCUCUUUGCUCCUUUCGCAUUCCAUAGCAUGGUAAUUAACAGCACUCGGAGUGUUUUAAAAUAAAUAUGCUGGUGACGUUUGGUGGUAUGUUUUGUUCCCAGACGAUCAACAGCCAUUUCUUGGAAAGCAGCUGGAGACUCAGCUGAGAGCAGCCCCGAAGCGCUUUUAUUCAGCGCCAUUGCAAGUGAUUGCCUGAGAAAAUAACAGUGUCACACAAUGCUGCGCCUCUUUGCGCGGGCACAUCGCUGGAGAAGAAAACAUGGGGAUUUGCCGCUCUUUCUUCCCUCGUUUAUCCCAGGGGCCCCUGGCAGCCCGUCCUGUUUGCCCUGGGAAAAACCCAACUGCUGCACCCAUAAACUUUUGUGCUGAGAAGGGAAUUUCAAAUCCAAAGAGGCAUCGGUGGCAAGCAGGCGGUGCAGCUUGUGGCUUGCCUCUGGCUUGUGAAGCCCAUGAUAGCAAAGUCUUUUGCAUAAAAGGACUGAGUCACAGGCAUGCUAAGGCAAUUCUUUUAUGCCUUAGCAAAUAAACAGCAAACCAUCACCAAGAAUCUGACAGAACUUUUUAGUGUCCAAAUCCCCAAAAGAGGUGGGGAUAGAGUAUCAUAAGGACCCACCUGAUCGUGGAUUGCGAACACACAGAGUACCCGAUUUUGUCAGAGAACGAUCCUCGUACUCUUCUUUACAAUGGCAGGAGUAUGUUCCAUAUUCGUUGAGACAAGUGGCCUCGUUGCCACAUAAAGCAAUUUCAGAGUUGCAUUCAUUCACAUCUAUCACGCAUGGACAAAACAGUUUUCCAUUAACAGGUGAUUAAGCUUCCAAAGACAGGAGUUACUGUUUUAUUGGAUAUUCCCUGAUUAAUAAAAUAAUUGCUUACCUACCUUUCA
rnacentral:lncRNA from 1 species